rnacentral:rRNA from 1 species
AUGAUGCUCUGGAAUGGCAUGAGUCAGGUGGCUAACAUAGCACAGCUUGCCGGGGUGUACGCGUAUGGGGUCAUCACGAUGAUCGUGGAAGCUGCAAAGACAGUCAGAAGGAACCGGAAAACCUGCCAGCUGCUGGCGCGGCUUGUGAAGAUGAUUGGAGACCUUCUCCAGCAGCUCGAGAGCACGCAGCUGAUGCAGCAUACGGAGACGAGGAACCCAGUUGAGCAGCUGGAGGAGACGCUCCGGCAUACGUACAUGCUCAUCAGAUCCUGUCAGGACGGCAGCUACCUGUACAGCUGCUUUAUGAGUGGGAAGCAAGCUGACCAGCUCCAUCCGGUGCAGAAUGAGAUCGCUUUCUACCUCCAGCUUAUCCCACUCGUUGGCUUUGUCGAUACCACUCGGACCUGA